rnacentral:rRNA from 1 species
AGGGUUUGAUUCUGGCUCAGGAUGAACGCUGGCGGCGUGCCUAACACAUGCAAGUCGAACGGACUUUUCAUGAAGCCUAGCGAUUGAAAAGUUAGUGGCGGACGGGUGAGUAACGCGUGGGUAACCUGCCUUGUACUGGGGGACAACAGUUGGAAACGACUGCUAAUACCGCAUAAGCGCACAGCUUCGCAUGAAGCAGUGUGAAAAACUCCGGUGGUACAAGAUGGACCCGCGUCUGAUUAGCUGGUUGGUGAGGUAACGGCCCACCAAGGCAACGAUCAGUAGCCGGCCUGAGAGGGUGAACGGCCACAUUGGGACUGAGACACGGCCCAA